rnacentral:rRNA from 1 species
GUGACCAACCUGCCCCAUGCUCCAGAAUAGGCUCCUUGGAAACGGGUGGUAAUGCUGGAUGCUCCAACUUGACGCAUGUCUUGUUGGGAAAGUAUUAGUGGCAUGGGAUGGGGGUCGCGUCCUAUCAGCUUGUAGGCGGGGGUAAGUGGGCCCCACCUAGGCUUCGACGGGUAGCCGGCCGUGAGAGGGCGGACGGCCACAUUGGGACUGAGAUACGGCCCAGACUCCUACGGGAGGCAGCAGGG